rnacentral:rRNA from 1 species
GAUGAACGCUGGCGGCGUGCCUAAUACAUGCAAGUCGAGCGAACAGACGAGGAGCUUGCUCCUCUGACGUUAGCGGCGGACGGGUGAGUAACACGUGGAUAACCUACCUAUAAGACUGGGAUAACUUCGGGAAACCGGAGCUAAUACCGGAUAAUAUAUUGAACCGCAUGGUUCAAUAGUGAAAGUCGGUUUUGCUGUCACUUAUAGAUGGAUCCGCGCCGCAUUAGCUAGUUGGUAAGGUAACGGGUUACCAAGGCAACGAUGCGUAGCCGACCGGAGAGGGUGAUCGGCCACACUGGAACUGAGACACGGUCCAGAGUCCUACGGGAGGCAGCAGUAGGGAAUCUGCCGCAAUGGGCGAAAGCCUGACGGAGCAACGCCGCGUGAGUGAUGAAGGUGUUCGGAGCGUAAAGCUCGGUUAUUAGGGAAGAACAAAUGUGUAAGGAACUAUGCACGGCUUGACGGUACCUAAUCAGAAAGCCACGGCUAACUACGUG